UGGAAAUGCACAGAGGCACAAGAGUACAUGUGGUGUGGGGGAAGAAGGUCUGCCUCAGACCACCAAGGCUCAAAUCCUGAUCGCAUGUAUGGAAGUGGUGGUCAAACAGCUCUCUGGAGCUGGAAUCAGCCCUGGUGUCACUCAUCCAGCCUGGGGAUCCACUUCCAAAUAUGGAUGAAGCACCUGCGGCUCAAAUAACAUGUUAACCAAGUUUGGAGCCCACUCAGCUCCUCUGAAUCCAGGAUUUUGACCACUGC